UUUUCCAGCUGACUGGCUCAGGUAGGUGUUCCUCUCUCUUUUCCAGCUGACUGGCUCAGGUAGGUGUUCCUCUCUCUUUUCCAGCUGACUGGCUCAGGUAGGUGUUCCU